rnacentral:rRNA from 1 species
AUUGAACGCUGGCGGCAUGCUUUACACAUGCAAGUCGAACGGCAGCGCGGGCUUCGGCCUGGCGGCGAGUGGCGAACGGGUGAGUAAUACAUCGGAACGUGCCCAGUAGUGGGGGAUAGCUCGGCGAAAGCCGGAUUAAUACCGCAUACGACCUGAGGGUGAAAGCGGGGGAUCUUCGGACCUCGCGCUAUUGGAGCGGCCGAUGGCAGAUUAGCUAGUUGGUGGGGUAAAAGCCUACCAAGGCGACGAUCUGUAGCUGGUCUGAGAGGACGACCAGCCACACUGGGACUGAGACACGGCCCAGACUCCUACGGGAGGCAGCAGUGGGGAAUUUUGGACAAUGGGCGAAAGCCUGAUCCAGCAAUGCCGCGUGUGUGAUGAAGGCCUUCGGGUUGUAAAGCACUUUUGGCGGGAACGAAAAGGACUGUGCCAAUACCACGGUUCGAUGACGGUACCCGCAGAAUAAGCACCGGCUAACUACGUG